rnacentral:rRNA from 1 species
UACGAAGGGGGCUAGCGUUGUUCGGAUUUACUGGGCGUAAAGCGCACGUAGGCGGAUCCUUAAGUCAGGGGUGAAAUCCCGGGGCUCAACCUCGGAACUGCCUUUGAUACUGGGGAUCUCGAGUCCGGGAGAGGUGAGCGGAACUGCGAGUGUAGAGGUGAAAUUCGUAGAUAUUCGCAAGAACACCAGUGGCGAAGGCGGCUCACUGGCCCGGUACUGACGCUGAGGCACGAAAGCGUGGGGAGCAAACAGG